AGUGAACGCUGGCGGUAGGCCUAACACAUGCAAGUCGAACGGCAGCACAGUAAGAGCUUGCUCUUACGGGUGGCGAGUGGCGGACGGGUGCGGAAUACAUCGGAAUCUACUUUUUCGUGGGGGAUAACGUAGGGAAACUUACGCUAAUACCGCAUACGACCUACGGGUGAAAGCAGGGGAUCUUCGGACCUUGCGCGAUUGAAUGAGCCGAUGUCGGAUUAGCUAGUUGGCGGGGUAAAGGCCCACCAAGGCGACGAUCCGUAGCUGGUCUGAGAGGAUGAUCAGCCACACUGGAACUGAGACACGGUCCAGACUCCCACGGGAGGCAGCAGUGGGGAAUAUUGGACAAUGGGCGCAAGCCUGAUCCAGCCAUACCGCGUGGGUGAAGAAGGCCUUCGGGUUGUAAAGCCCUUUUGUUGGGAAAGAAAAGCAGCAGGUUAAUACCCCGCUGUUCUGACGGUACCCAAAGAAUAAGCACCGGCUAACUUCGUG
rnacentral:rRNA from 1 species